rnacentral:rRNA from 1 species
GACGUAGGAUGCAAGCGUUGUCCGGAUUUAUUGGGCGUAAAGAGUUCGUAGGCGGUUCGUUAAGUCUGAUGUUAAAUCUCGGGGCUCAACCUCGGGAGUGCAUUGGAUACUGGCGGACUGGAGUGUGGUAGAGGUUAGUGGAAUUCCCAGUGUAGCGGUGAAAUGCGUAGAUAUUGGGAAGAACACCAGUGGCGUAGGCGACUAACUGGGCCAUAACUGACGCUGAGGAACGAAAGCCAGGGGAGCGAAUGGG